rnacentral:rRNA from 1 species
GUUUGAAAGAUGGCUUCGGCUAUCACUUUUGGAUGGUCCCGCGGCGUAUUAGCUAGAUGGUGAGGUAACGGCUCACCAUGGCAAUGAUACGUAGCCGACCUGAGAGGGUAAUCGGCCACAUUGGGACUGAGACACGGCCCAAACUCCUACGGGAGGCAGCAGUAGGGAAUCUUCCACAAUGGACGAAAGUCUGAUGGAGCAACGCCGCGUGAGUGAAGAAGGGUUUCGGCUCGUAAAACUCUGUUGUUAAAGAAGAACAUAUCUGAGAGUAACUGUUCAGGUAUUGACGGUAUUUAACCAGAAAGCCACGGCUAACUACGUGCCAGCAGCCGCGGUAAUACGUAGGUGGCAAGCGUUGUCCGGAUUUAUUGGGCGUAAAGCGAGCGCAGGCGGUUUUUUAAGUCUGAUGUGAAAGCCUUCGGCUCAACCGAAGAAGUGCAUCGGAAACUGGGAAACUUGAGUGCAGAAGAGGACAGUGGAACUCCAUGUGUAGCGGUGAAAUGCGUAGAUAUAUGGAAGAACACCAGUGGCGAAGGCGGCUGUCUGGUCUGUAACUGACGCUGAGGCUCGAAAGUAUGGGUAGCAAACAGGAUUAGAUACCCUGGUAGUCCAUACCGUAAACGAUGAAUGCUAAGUGUUGGAGGGUUUCCGCCCUUCAGUGCUGCAGCUAACGCAUUAAGCAUUCCGCCUGGGGAGUACGGCCGCAAGGCUGAAACUCAAAGGAAUUGACGGGGGCCCGCACAAGCGGUGGAGCAUGUGGUUUAAUUCGAAGCUACGCGAAGAACCUUACCAGGUCUUGACAUACUAUGCAAAUCUAAGAGAUUAGACGUUCCCUUCGGGGACAUGGAUACAGGUGGUGCAUGGUUGUCGUCAGCUCGUGUCGUGAGAUGUUGGGUUAAGUCCCGCAACGAGCGCAACCCUUAUUAUCAGUUGCCAGCAUUAAGUUGGGCACUCUGGUGAGACUGCCGGUGACAAACCGGAGGAAGGUGGGGAUGACGUCAAAUCAUCAUGCCCCUUAUGACCUGGGCUACACACGUGCUACAAUGGAUGGUACAACGAGUUGCGAACUCGCGAGAGUAAGCUAAUCUCUUAAAGCCAUUCUCAGUUCGGAUUGUAGGCUGCAACUCGCCUACAUGAAGUCGGAAUCGCUAGUAAUCGCGGAUCAGCAUGCCGCGGUGAAUACGUUCCCGGGCCUUGUACACACCGCCCGUCACACCAUGAGAGUUUGUAACACCCAAAGUCGGUGGGGUAACCUUUUAGGAACCAGCCGCCUAAGGUGGGACAGAUGAUUAGGGUGAAGUCGUAACAAGGUAGCCGUAGGAGAACCUGCGGCUG